CCUCCUCUUCUUGGCGGGGACCGGGCGUGCGGUCCCGGUCCCCCUGAUGUGCGGAGGGAGAGGGCUCUGGCCCCCUCGGCGCCACGUCUUCGGUGCCGGCGGUUUCCAGUCCGCCGGUUCUAUCCUCAAGCGCCGGGACACGG